GUUUGCUCCCCCUUCAGCCAUGAUUAUACCUUGACUAUGAAUAAUAGUUUCAAUAAGGAAGACAGAAUGAGUUCUGACACGAUGGUUGGGAGCUGUGACAGGCAGACGAAAAAUGGAGCCAAAUGGCAUGGAGGUGUCAUGAUGUUGGAACAGUAACAAUAACUCAACCAACCAGGGCUUGUCUGAAUACAAUCCUACAGCAGCAGGAGCUGUGGAGAUAUAGAAGGCAAGGAAGACCAGGUUGUGAGGGAAGACGAAUUUACUCCCAGGAAUGUUGGGAUUGAGAGUAAUAUUCUCCAAUAAUGGUGGAAGACAGAACAAUAAAAGCCCACCAGCUCCUUCUGCAUGGUGGGAUAAGAGAAAAGCCAAGGGCAGAAGUGAGAAAAAUAACCAUCACCAAACUGAAAAGAAAACCUUUAUAAAAAAACUGGAUUGAUAAAUGACCUUUAGUAGUGGAAAGAUACCAUUCCAAUGAAGCAUGAAUUGAAAGGAUUUCUUCUGAAAGCUAAUUUACAUUUUUCUUUUUUUUUUUUUCAUUUUCAGUGUGUUUUAGCAGGUGUAUUGUUCUACAUGGUUAGUUUCUUUACCUCUUUGAGAAAAAUGGGUCAGCUUGACACAUCUGGAUGAAAGAAUCCGUUAGGUGAUUAUGAUUGAAGACAGAUUAAGCCUUGUUAUGAGGGGAAUAUUUGGGGGCUUACCCUGAGGUGAUAUUUGAUGAUUUAGCUGUGGGAGAAUUUCCCUCCCAAGAUCAGCGUGACUGACACUGAAAUUGCUACAGGGGAACCGGACCUUUCCAAGAGGUGACAAGGACAUUUACCUGGUACAACACAAUGGUUCUGGACUGGAAGUCUAGUCCCAUUGAUGAAGUUCCCAAAAGAUGUCCAGGUCCUAAUCCCUGGAAUCUGUGAAUAUGUCAUCUUACACAUCAAAAGAACUUUGAAAAUGUGAUUGAGGUUAAGGACCUUGGAAUGAGGAGAUUACCUUGGAUUAUCUGGUUGGGUCCAAGCUAAUCACAUGAGUCCUUAAAGGAGAAGAACCUUUUUUAGCUGGGUCAGAGAGAGAUGUGAUGAUGAAAACAGGCUCAGGGAGAUGCACUGUAAGAAGGGCUUGACCAGUUGUUUUUGACUUUGAAGAUGGAGGGAAGGGCCAGGAGCCAAGGAAGGUGGGUGGCUUUUGGAAGGUGGAAAAAGCAAGGGAACAUUCUCUCCAGAGCCUCCAGAAAGGAGCUCAGCCCUGUUGACAUCUUUGUUUUUAUUUUUUAUUUUUAGUAGCAUUGAGGUCUCACUAUGUUGCACAGGCUGGUCUUGAACUCUUGAGCUCAAGCACUCCUCCCGCCUUGGCUUCCCAAAGUGCUGGGAUUAUAGGCAUGUGCCACCACAUCUGGCUUCCUACUGACAUCUUAACUUUAGUGCAGUGAGACUCAUAUUUGAAUUUCUGACCUUAUAUUAUAGAACCAUAAGACAUUAUAGAAUUAUAUAGAAUUAUAGAACCAUAAGACAAUAACUUUGUGUUGUUUUAAGAUACUAAAUUUUUGGUAAUUUGUUAUGGCAGCACAAUAAAACCAAUAUAGCAUUAUAUUAUGCCAAUAUCAUCUCUUUGUUGACUAUUGCUAUUAUAGUUUGUUUUAUGGGUCUUGUGUAAACAAUCAAGCUAUAAUAUUGGGUUAACUCCCUAAGGAAAACUUGGAAUAUAGAACAUUAUUUUAAAGACUGAAUUAGGUAAAUACACCUGCCAGUGAAUACAUUAACAAAUUAAUUAAUAUAUUCACUCUUUUCACUCACAAAUACUUUUUGAGCCCCUAUUACUAGCCAAACAUUUUGUUAGAUUCUGAGAAGGGUCUGCUAGACAACAUUGUGACUAUAGUUAAUAACAAUAUAUUGUACUCUUGAAAAUUACUAAGAGAGUAGAUUUUAAGUGUUCUCACCACAAAAAAUAAGUAUGUGAGGUAAUGCAGAUGUUAGUUAGCUUGAUUUAGCCAUUCCCCAGUGUAUACAUAUUUCAAACCUUCAUAUUAUACAUGGAUAAAUAUAUACAAUUUUUAUUUGUCAAUUAAAAGCCCCUCGAUGAAUACAGUUUCCAUUCUGUCCUUGAGGUGGAGCUUGUAGACUUGGUGGGGUCCGGGGAUCAACUUUUAAACAGGCAGUUCCAAAGUGUGGAGUGGAUAGGCUUAUUCUCUUUGUUGCUUUUAUGAUAGGUAUUUAGAAUGCACUUUCCUCUGUUAAGUUAAGCCAGCCACCAUUCCCUCAUUCAGUUUCCAUCCUCCAUGAAUUUGCUCACAUCUGCGGUCUACUGUCACUCAUUCUUUCCUUCUCUUCCUGAGGGCUUGUGUGACUUAUGUUCUUGGCUUUCUCUUAGGAACAUGGUGCAGCUUGGCCCUGCAUUAUCCAUCUGGAAAAACAGAUCAUAAAACAGUCCUUCUCUGUACUAAGUGCUAAAGUAGGAGGAAGGGCAUAAGUCAGCUCCCUGAGCUAUAUAUCCUUGUUUUCAGGAGCUGAGCUAGACACAAGCAGAACUUGCAAAUAAUUUACAUUUCUUUCUGCUGAGGUGGUUCAGAAUAAGUUGCAACAAACAUGAACAGGAAUGGUGCAGUAAAU
rnacentral:lncRNA from 1 species